rnacentral:rRNA from 1 species
GAUGAACGCUGGCGGCGUGCUUAACACAUGCAAGUCGAACGGGAAUUAUUUUAUUGAAACUUCGGUCGAUUUAAUUUAAUUCUAGUGGCGGACGGGUGAGUAACGCGUGGGUAACCUGCCUUAUACAGGGGGAUAACAGUCAGAAAUGGCUGCUAAUACCGCAUAAGCGCACAGAGCUGCAUGGCUCAGUGUGAAAAACUCCGGUGGUAUAAGAUGGACCCGCGUUGGAUUAGCUGGUUGGUGGGGUAACGGCCCACCAAGGCGACGAUCCAUAGCCGGCCUGAGAGGGUGAACGGCCACAUUGGGACUGAGACACGGCCCAGACUCCUACGGGAGGCAGCAGUGGGGAAUAUUGCACAAUGGGGGAAACCCUGAUGCAGCGACGCCGCGUGAAGGAAGAAGUAUCUCGGUAUGUAAACUCCUAUCAGCAGGGAAGAUAGUGACGGUACCUGACUAAGAGGCCCCGGCUAACUACGUG